rnacentral:rRNA from 1 species
AUUGAACGCUGGCGGCAUGCCUUACACAUGCAAGUCGAACGGCAGCACGGGAGCUUGCUCCUGGUGGCGAGUGGCGAACGGGUGAGUAAUGCAUCGGAACUUACCCGGAAGUGGGGGAUAACGUAGCGAAAGUUACGCUAAUACCGCAUAUUCUGUGAGCAGGAAAGAGGGGGGUUGCAAGACCUCUCGCUUUCGGAGCGGCCUAUGUCGGAUUAGCUAGUUGGUGGGGUAAAGGCCUACAAAGGCGACGAUCCGUGGCGGGUCUGAGAGGAUGAUCCGCCACACUGGAACUGAGACACGGUCCAGACUCCUACGGGAGGCAGCAGUGGGGAAUUUUGGACAAUGGGCGAAAGCCUGAUCCAGCCAUGCCGCGUGAGUGAAGAAGGCAUUCGGGUUGUAAAGCUCUUUAGGCUGAAAAGAAAUCGCACAGGCUAAUACCUUGAGUGGAUGACGGUAUCAGCAUAAGAAGCACCGGCUAACUACGUGCCAGCCGCCGCCGUAAUAC